GACAGAGGGGGCAAGCGUUGUCCGGACUGACUGGGCGUAAAGCGCGCGCAGGCGGUCAGAGGCGUCGGUGCUCAAAGUCCACCGCUUAACGGUGGGAGGCGUGCCGAUACGCUCUGACUGGAGGGCGGGCGAGGGUGGUGGAAUUGCCGGUGUAGUGGUGAAAUGCGUAGAGAUCGGCAGGAACACCAGUGGCGAAGGCGACUACCUGGCCUGUUCUUGACGCUGAGGCGCGAAAGCUAGGGGAGCAAACGGG
rnacentral:rRNA from 1 species